UAUCUGUGCUGCAGGAUUCAGACUAAAGUCAGGAGAAACUAACUUCACUGAUACAAAUAAACUCUGUGAGAGUGUAUGUGAGAUUGAUAAAUCUAUAUGUGGAGGAGGAGUCUGCAAAAACAACAAAGACGGCCUUGAAUGUGUGUGCAGUUCAGGAUUCACUAACUAUGGUCACAAACAAAUGAAAUGCACAGAGCUUAAGUGCGACAGAUUAUUAAAUGAGAGCAAAGCAUCCCAGG